rnacentral:tRNA from 1 species
GAACGCAUGCGGACGCUAAGCUGCUCUUAAUCAGCGGGUCCUAGGUUCGAGCCCUAGUGCGUCCACCA